rnacentral:rRNA from 1 species
UACAGAGGUCUCAAGCGUUGUUCGGAUUCAUUGGGCGUAAAGGGUGCGUAGGCGGCGCGGUAAGUCGGGUGUGAAAUCUCAGGGCUCAACCCUGAAACUGCACUUGAUACUGCUCUGCUUGAGGACUGGAGAGGAGACUGGAAUUCACGGUGUAGCAGUGAAAUGCGUAGAUAUCGUGAGGAAGACCAGUGGCGAAGGCGGGUCUCUGGACAGUUCCUGACGCUGAGGCGCGAAAGCUAGGGGAGCAAACG